GACGAACGCUGGCGGCGUGGAUAAGACAUGCAAGUCGAACGGGACUUUUUUCUGUAGCAAUACAGAGAAAAGUCUAGUGGCGAACGGGUGCGUAACACGUGAGCAACCUGCCGUGAAGUGGGGGAUAGCUCGCCGAAAGGCGAAUUAAUACCGCAUGUGGCCAAGGAAGACAUCUUCCUGACGCCAAAGCCGGGGCAACCCGGCGCUUCUCGAGGGGCUCGCGGCCUAUCAGCGUGUUGGUGAGGCAACGGCUCACCAAGGCUAUGACGGGUAGCUGGGCUGAGAGGACGACCAGCACCACUGGAACUGAGACACGGUCCAGACACCUACGGGUGGCAGCAGUCGAGAAUUUUUCACAAUGGGGGAAACCCUGAUGGAGCGACGCCGCGUGGAGGAUGAAGGUUUUCGGAUUGUAAACUCCUGUCAUUAGAGAACAAGGCACACGGUUUAACUGGCCGUGUGUUGAUAGUAUCUGAAGAGGAAGAGACGGCUAACUCUGUGCCAGCCGCCGCGGUAA
rnacentral:rRNA from 1 species